AGAAAAAGGAAAAGGAAAAGAAGAAAGGAAAAAGAAGAAGAAAAGAGGUGAGGUUAAUCUCUUCAAGUUGGGUUUAAUUUUUCCACUUUGUUUUCGAGUGAUUAAGUAUGAUUUAUAUUAAAUUUUUAGGGUUUUAACUUGUAGAAUAAAAUGUCGAAUUUUAGGUGAUAUUUGUACGAAUUGGAGCUCAAGUUUGGGGAUUUCUUCAUUUCCAAUUUUAGCUAGGUGGUGGCGGGGAAAUUGGAAACGUUUAUCAGCCAAUCUAGCUUGUAGCUCAUACCUUGAGACCGUCGAUUUUGAGAUACUGGGAAAAGCCCGCUGAAGCGAAAGAGACCGUUUCAUAGUAUGUAAUGUAUAGUUGGGGAACUCAUGUUAAUUAAGUGCUUGUCUAAUAUUUGGUGUGUCAUGCACUUCGUAGAAAGGUUGGUAAUUGAUGUAAUGCUUGCAUGUUGACAUGAUGAUGUUGUAGAAGCACUCAGUCGAAUUUUGUUAUAUUUUGUUGUAGUUGUGGUGGUAUUAGAGGAAGUGGUGGUUUCCAAAACUUUUGGUUUAAAUGUCUAUUUGAGGUUUUGAUGAUUUUUCA